CAGAGCGCCGCUAACACUGUCGCUAGCCUGCUGUAGAGUUAGCAUAACUUCAUGAUUAAAAUACAGCACGUAAAUACGGUUUAAACAGCUGAAACAUUAUAUUAUCUGGAUUUAUUGUUGUUUAUCAGGUCCUGUCUGCAGUCUGAUGGGUUCAUGAUAACAUCCAGGAGAGCAGAGCCCGUUCAGUACCAUGGCCCUCGCUGAGGAGCAGCCUGAGAAACACUGCUGGGUGUGUUUUGCCACUGAGAGGGACGACCACAGUGCAGAGUGGGUGAGCCCCUGCAGAUGUAAAGGCUGCACUAAAUGGAUCCACCAGUCGUGUCUGCAGCGCUGGCUGGACGAGAAGCAGAAAGGAAACAGUGAGGGAGCUGUCAGCUGCCCGCAGUGUGGCACUGAAUACCACAUCACCUUCCCCAAGAUGGGCCCGUUGGUGUAUUUCCUCCAGCAGGUGGACAGAGCUCUGUCCCGGGCGAGUCCCUUCGCCGCCGUUGGGGUGGUGGUGGGGACCGUGUACUGGUCAGCCGUCACAUAUGGAGCCGUGACCGUCAUGCAGGUGGUGGGACAUAAGAAGGGUCUGAACGUGAUGGAGCGAGCCGACCCGCUCUUCCUGCUGAUGGGGCUGCCCACCAUCCCCGUGGUGCUGGUGCUGGGCAAGAUGAUCCGCUGGGAGGAUUAUAUAGUGAGGCUGUGGCAGAGGUACUCCUGCAGGGGGAAGCUCCAGCCAGGUGGCAGCCGUUACCUGCCCAGAGUCCCUGCUGACGGGCUGGGAGCAGGAGAUCACCUCUCUGUGUCCAGGACUCUGUGCGGAGCGCUCAUCUUUCCCUCCAUCGCCAGUCUGAUGGGACGGCUGCUGUUCAGACGGAUGCCCUCUGACCUUCAGCGCACUGUGCUGGGCGGCAUCGCGUUUGUGUUGAUCAAGGGAGCGUUGAAGGUGUAUUUUAAACACCAGCAGUGCAUCAUUCAGGCCAGUCGACACAUCCUCAACUACCCAGAGGGAGACAGAGACGGACAGAAUGAAGAUGGAGACGAGGACACAGAGGACAGUGGGAACGAAUAGUUUCACUUAAUGUGGAGAGAGGCCGACAAACUGUGACGAUGGUACAAAAACAAGAUGUUUGUCACCAUAAAACACAAUGCAGAGCUUUAAUGAGGUGAGUCUGGGUAAGAGGCUUCACCUGUGACCAGAGUGACAUCAAUUCAAAGUUUCUGCCUCCAACAUCUGCAUCAGAAACACACAUCUACGCAGCCUACGAGCUUCUCACCACGAGUACUAACACUGAUUACAUACUGGUGACGUCUUGUGUCCCUCUCAGCCUUUAAUUCUGCUCUCAGUGACGAAAAAUACUUGAAGAUAUUUAUAAAAUAUGAUUUGUUGCCUUAUCUUUUAAUAUGGUGCCCAAACAAAGAAACUUACAGGAGUCAGCUCAGGUGAUUCAGUGUGUUUACGUGCACUCAGGUCACGGCAUUAAGCAGGAUUUAUACUUGUGUGUGUCAGCUCUAUGCAGAGCCUACAGUGCAGCUUACGCCGCUGUGAGCAUUUAUACUUGUGCAGUGGUGUGUCUGUGUGACUCUGCAGUUACACCUCCAAAACACUAGUUGGAGUCAGGGUUUCUGUGAAGUGCUGUAAAGUUUAGUUGAUUCAAAACACACAUUAAACACACAUCAAACACACAUUAAACACACAUUAAACACACAUUAAACAUGGCUUAAUAGAGACAGUUUCAAACACAAAUCAGCUUCACUAAAACUCGCAGCAUUCACAGACAAACACUUGUCUUUAUCUGGACACAUUUUCCCCACAAAUACAACAUGCUA